rnacentral:piRNA from 1 species
UCCAAUGUAGGUAUUUGUUUU